rnacentral:rRNA from 1 species
UCUAAACCACAUUACUGUAAGGACAGACCGUUGGUAAUGUGGUGUUGCGAGGUGUAUUUACUGCAAUCUGUAAAGCAGACAAUGUUUUGUACGGCGAGGAAAAAUUACCUGGGAAGGUAAGCCAAAGAGGGUUACAGCCCCGUAUUCGAAAGCUCGUACAUAUGUUGCAAUACAUUCUCAAGUAAGAUCGGACACGUGAAAUCCGGUUUGAAUCUGGGUCGACCAUGAUCCAAGACUAAAUACUAUAGGUGAUCGAUAGCGAACUAGUACCAUGAGGGAAAGGUGAAAAGAACCCCGAGAGGGGAGUGAAAUAGAACCUGAAACUGUAUGCUGAUGAAGAGUGGGAGCUUUUAGAGCAAUCUAUUUAGUGACCGCGUACUUUUUGUAGAACGGACCAACGACUUAGUUGUAUGUGGCAAGGUUAAGGAAGAAACAUCCGGAGCCGAAGCGAAAGCGAGUCUGAAUAGGGCGCUAAGUCACGUACACUAGACCCGAAACCGGGAGAGCUACCCAUGAGCAGGAUGAAGUUCGACGAAAGUCGAAUGGAGGUCCGAACCAUUUAGAGCUGCAAGUCUAUUGGAUGACUCGUGGGUUGGAGUGAAAAGCUAAUCGAUCUCGGAGAUAGCUGGUUCUCCGCGAAAUAUAUUUAGGUAUAGCCGUAUUUAUCAAAGUAAGGGGGGUAGAGCACUAUUUGGACUAGUUGAGGUGAAUAACCUUUGCAAAUCCUGAUAAACUCCGAAUACCCUUAUCCAUGGAAUACGAGGCAGACUGCGACGGAUAAGCGCCGUAGUCGAGAGGGAAACAGCCCAGAUUCCUAACUAAGGUCCCUAAUUUUUGAUUAAGUGGUAAAGGAAGUGGAAUUACUCAGACAGCCAGGAGGUUGGCUUAGAAGCAGCCAUUCCUUUAAAGAGUGCGUAACAGCUCACUGGUCGAGUGAUUCUGCGCCGAAAAUUCAACGGGGCUCAAAUCAAAAACCGAAGUUGGAAAUGUAAUAAAUAUAAUUAUUGCGUGGUAGCGGAGCGUUCCCCAUGCCGAUGAAGGUGAAUCGUGAGAUUUGCUGGAGGUACGGGAAGUGAAAAUGUUGGUAUGAGUAACGUAAAUGGAGUGAAAACCUCCAUCGCCGAAUGUCUAAGGUUUCCUGUCCCAUGGCAGUCAUGGCAGGGUGAGUCGGUCCUAAGGUGUAGCCGAUAGGCGGAACCGAUGGAUAUCAGGUUAAUAUUCCUGAACUUUUUAUUCGCGUGUGCAGACUGUGACGGAUCGUGUUAUCGGAGCCACUAAUGAUUUAUGGUUUGGUAUUCAAGUCUUCGGGCGAGAAUAUUAACUCUUUUUCGGCUGACUUCGGUCAGUUUGAGGAGGAAGUCCUACGAUAAUAUGAUUCCAAGAAAAGCUAUCUGUAUUGAAUAAAAAACCGUACCGGAAUCGAACACACGUAGUCAGGUGUAAGUACACUAAGGCGUAUGGGAUAACUAUGCUUAAGGAACUCUGCAAAAAAGCGUCCGUAACUUCGGGAGAAGGGCUCCCAUUUGUAUAUUUUAUGCAAGUGGGUUCAACGAACGAGCUCAGGCGACUGUUUACCAAAAACACAGCUCUCUGCUAAGGCGUAAGCCGAUGUAUAGGGGGUGAUGCCUGCCCAGUGCCAGAAGAUCACGAGGAGAGGUGCAAGCCUUGAAUCCAAGUCCUGGUGAACGGCGGCCGUAACUAUAACGGUCCUAAGGUAGCGAAAUUCCUUGUCGGGUAAGUUCCGACCCGCACGAAUGGCAUAACGAUCUGAGCACUGUCUCAAGCAUAGACCCAGUGAAAUUGUAAUAUCGGUAAAAAUACCGAUUACUCACAGCAAGACGGAAAGACCCUAUGAAGCUUUACUAUAACUUGGUAUUGUUCAAUGAAUACUGUUGCGUAGGAUAGGUGGGAGACUAUGAAGGAGAGGCUUUGGCUUUUCUGGAGUCAACGGUGAAAUACCACCCUUUAGUAUUUAUUGAACUCACCCCGUCCAAUUUUCUUGAAACGUCAUUAGACGUUUAUUUUUCAGGCCCUUUACUUGGGGCUCUGCGAAGUAUUUAUCGAGGAAGUCGGACGGGGGACAGUGCUUGGUGGGUAGUUUAACUGGGGCGGUUGCCUCCUAAAAAGUAACGGAGGCGCGCAAUGGUUGGCUUAGUCCGGAUGGAAACCGGACGUGACGUGUAUUCGCAUAAGCCAGCCUGACUGAGAGACCUACAAGUCGAUCAGAGUCGAAAGACGGUGAAAAUGAACCGGCACUCACGCAUGGAAGUGGUGUCGAUCAACGGAUAAAAGUUACUCUAGGGAUAACAGGCUGAUCAUGCCCAAGCGUCCACAGCGACGGCAUGGUUUGGCACCUCGAUGUCGGCUCGUCGCAUCCUGGGGGUGGAGAAGCUCCCAAG